AAAAAAAAUUUUUUUCUUUUCCUUUUUUUUCUUCCCCCCCCCCCCUUUUUUUUAUAAAAAAAAGGGGGGGGGGGGAAGAAAAAAAAGGAAAAGAAAAAAAUUUUUUUUAAAAAAAAUUUUUUUCUU
rfam:Aptenodytes forsteri contig55897, whole genome shotgun sequence.